UGGCUCUAGUGAAUAACCCUAAAGAAAGCCA
rnacentral:piRNA from 1 species